rnacentral:lncRNA from 1 species
GAUUAUGUGAAUCUUAAGGGUCAGAAAAGGAGAUUUGCAUCUGUGAAGCUGUCAUCCUGACACAUUUCAUCCAGGACUUGUGGCAUUUUGUAAAUGCCACCUUAACAAUCAGGGAUGAGUUUUUUAGGAGAUGUGGGAAUACAUUCAGCCACAAGAACUGCCCCACAGCUAUCCUCUUCCUCACAAGCAGCAUUAGAGCAAAUUUAAAGACAUGGUAACAUUCUGAAAAGGAUACAGAGAAAAUGGUUCAAAUUAACUUCUUGUCCCAUCGAGUGCCUGGGUCGGUGCCUGAAGGUGGUGACAGAUUCCUGCUGCCUGGGGCUGCCGUGUCCUUGCCCUCUGGAGAAAGGCAGCUCAGCUCUCUAUCCUGCCCUUCCACCCCUGCUGCCAACAGGAAUAAUCACACCUGUGCUCACGUGGAUCCAUCUGCUGCUUCAUCCUGCCUCAACCAUGGGAAGUCCCAGAUGUGCUCGUGGAUGGUGUUGGGUGCCCAUAAGGGAAGAGGGGAUUUCUCCCUCACCUCCAGGCCAGCUUUUUGA